rnacentral:rRNA from 1 species
CCCUUAGAUGUUCUGGGCCGCACGCGUGCAACACUGAGUGGAUCAGCGGGUCAGGUUGCGCGAAAGCGUUUCCUAAUCUUUAAAUCCGCUCGUGAUGGGGAUUGACGGUUGCAAUUUUCUGUCAUGAACGAGGAAUACCUUGUAAGCGCGGGUCAUCAUCCCGCGCUGAAUACGUCCCUGCCCUUUGUACACACCGCCCGUCGCUCCUACCGAUUGAGUGGUCCGGUGAGGCUUUGGGAUCUGAGCGGAAAGAGCGUUUCGCUGUUUCUGCUCGGAAAACUCAGUCGAACCUUAUCAUUUAGAGGAAGGAGAAGUCGUAACA